rnacentral:sRNA from 1 species
GUUUGUGUGAGGAGGAUAAAAGGAAAUUUGCUCUUGGAGUCGAAACACGGAAAGACGCCCAGGGGCUUUUUCCUUUU